UUUUGCAACCAUGUUAUCAACUUGAAUGAUGUUUUUUUUGUCUCCUUGACAUUCACUCUUCUCAAAAGUGUUCCCGCAAGCGAAGCCAUAGCACCGGUGGGCAGAGGAAAUAACUGAUGUUACUGGCCAAAAAGUCCCUGAUUUGAAAAUCUGGCUGAUUCCCUGGUUGAUGCCUGACUCAAUCAUAAUAAUCAAGCGCUUCUACCGUCCGAUUGGCUAAGCCGCACCGCCAACUCGGUGCCGUUGAAAGAAGCUAUUAGUCCGCGCAAAAUAAAUUGGAUCUUGUCGCUAUGUACCAGCAUAUGAUUUUUCAUCAGUUAAGAUCGGCCUCGCCUGGAAAUUUGAAUAGGCCUAUGGUGGAAAGGCCUGAGCGCUCUACCCGAGCAAAAGGACAGCGGGGGAAUGAAGGAGAAAGCUCCGAUAUGCCUACUGCUGGCAAAGUCCAAUGGAAGAAGAAGUCAGAAGAGCUGCAGACCCGGAUAGAGUUGCUGGAGGAGGAGAAUGCUUUACUGAAGCGGCAGCUUGAGCAAAGGCCUUCAGCAGAGCAAGGUUUGUAAAGCUAGAGUAUAGUUUUACCUGAGGACUUCAAUACAGUUUUUUAUGAUCGCUUAACCACAGUGGGCACAACUGGAGCGACACGUGCAAAACUCAGCAUGCAGUUCCU